rnacentral:rRNA from 1 species
AUUGAACGCUGGCGGCAUGCCUAACACAUGCAAGUCGAACGGUAACGCGGGGGCAAGCCCUGGCGACGAGUGGCGGACGGGUGAGUAAUACGUAGGAAUCUGCCCAUUUGUGGGGGAUAACCCGGCGAAAGCCGGGCUAAUACCGCAUACGCUCUACGGAGGAAAGCGGGGGAUCGUAAGACCUCGCGCUAAUGGAUGAGCCUACGUCGGAUUAGCUAGUUGGUAGGGUAACCGGCCUACCAAGGCGACGAUCCGUAGCUGGUCUGAGAGGACGAUCAGCCACACUGGGACUGAGACACGGCCCAGACUCCUACGGGAGGCAGCAGUGGGGAAUAUUGGACAAUGGGGGCAACCCUGAUCCAGCAAUGCCGCGUGU